rnacentral:rRNA from 1 species
AUUGAACGCUGGCGGCAGGCUUAACACAUGCAAGUCGAGCGGAGUGAUGGUGCUUGCACUAUCACUUAGCGGCGGACGGGUGAGUAAUGCUUAGGAAUCUGCCUAUUAGUGGGGGACAACAUCUCGAAAGGGAUGCUAAUACCGCAUACGUCCUACGGGAGAAAGCAGGGGAUCACUUGUGACCUUGCGCUAAUAGAUGAGCCUAAGUCGGAUUAGCUAGUUGGUGGGGUAAAGGCCUACCAAGGCGACGAUCUGUAGCGGGUCUGAGAGGAGGAUCCGCCACACUGGGACUGAUACACGGCCCAGACUCCUACGGGAGGCAGCAGUGGGGAAUAUUGGACAAUGGGGGGAACCCUGAUCCAGCCAUGCCGCGUGUGUGAAGAAGGCCUUAUGGUUGUAAAGCACUUUAAGCGAGGAGGAGGCUCUUUUGGUUAAUACCCAAGAUGAGUGGACGUUACUCGCAGAAUAAGCACCGGCUAACUCUGUGCCAGCCGCCGCAGUAA